rnacentral:lncRNA from 13 species
GGGAGGAAGGAGGGAGGGAGGGAGGGAGGGAGGGAGGAAGGAAACAUUCAUUGGCCUAAAUUCCUUGGCUCUGUGGGCUGGCUGAGAGGACAGGGAGAGACCACACCAGGCCCCAGCCACAUCUGGGGAUCAGGAGGUCACUGCACUGCAGGCGGAGCUGCCUGCUGAGGUUCCGAUGGCAGCUCUGGAAGCUGCUGCAGAAAUGCCAAGUGUCACGGCAGCCAGCGAGAUGGCUCUGUCUUCAUUCUCCACAAGGUGGAGCAUCUGGCUGCUUGAGCUAUCCCGGACCUGAGCCAUCUGCACCUGAGCCAUCCCGCACCUGAGCCAUCCCGCACCUGAGCCAUCCAGCACCUGAGCCAUCCCGCACCUGAGCUAUCCCACACCUGAGCCAUCCCACACCUGAGCUAUCCCGGACCUGAGCUAUCCCACACCUGAGCCAUCCCGGACCUGAGCCAUCCCAGACCUGAGCCAUCCCGCACCUGAGCCAUCCCGCACCUGAGCCAUUCCACGCCUGAGCCAUCCCACGCCUGAGCCAUCCCGGACCUGAGCCAUCCCGCAUCUGAGCCAUCCCGCACCUGAGGCAUCCCGCACCUGAGCCAUCCCGCACCUGAGCCAUCCGCACCUGAGCCAUCUGCCCCUGAGCCAUCCCCCACCUGAGCCAUUUGCACCUGAGCCAUCCCAAACCUGAGCCAUCCCGCACCUGAGCCAUCCCAGACCUGAGCCAUCUGCACCUGAGCCAUCCCGGACUUGAGCCAUCCCGGACCUGAGCCAUCUCUCACCUGAGCCAUCCCGGACCUGAGCCCUGGCUGUCAGGGAGAUUAAGGAAGGACGCACUUAGCAUGCCAGACUCCUCGGUGCCUCCUGGAGACCUUGGCCCCACCCAUCUCUUCUGCACUGGCCGUUCUGGUCACUCUUCGAGCCCUCCCCGCAGCUGUGACUCUGCUACCUCCUUCAGUCAUCAUGGAAAUGCCCCCGUGGAUUCUCCACCUUUGAAUCCCAGAGAUCCAGGAGCCGUCCCUUCCCAGAAGAGCUCAGGACCUGCUGUCCUGUGGAAAGCCCUCUCCAGCUGCAAAGCAGCAGACCCUCACCCAAGGCGUCUGGCAUCCCCUGGUCACCUCAGGGGAGCCCCAAAAAACACAGCAUGGAAGUGUCUGGGACAGCACAGCCUGCCUCGGGCCGUGUGACUCAGGGAAGCAUUCAGCAGAGGCCAGGCUCUCCCUGGAGGCCAUGCCCAGAGCUCCCCAGAAUGUGAAAGAUGUGACUCCUCGGCUUCUGAGGGCUGCCUGCAUGACCCUGGCAGUGACCCUGAGGCAGGGCCCCCGACAGACCCUGGGGAGGGUGCGGCCUUGCAGGUGGGGUGGGGGGUGCAGGGUCCCAGGGUCCCAGGCCCCACCUCCCAACCAAGCCAGGUCCUCUCCCUGCCCCUCCCCUUGAACCUUAAUUGUCUUUGGAGAGAAGCCACGCAGGGCGGGACGCACUGGCUGUUAGGGUGGGAGGGAGGGGUUCGAGGUCCACGCUCGGGGUCCCCAGGCCGAGGUGAGCUGCCCAGGGCUGGCAGCCGCAGGACUGGUCCAGGGCAGCUUCCGCAGGGAAACACCGCCACGCUGUGGGCAUUGGGGGAACUGCAACUGCCACCCCAUCUGCCGACCGAGGUGGGGGGACCCCACGCCAACGGCCACGGAGGCUGAGGACCCCCAGGACCCCUCAGCCUUUGUUCCAGGAGAGGCUCCUCACAUACCUGGUGCCAGGGCCCUGGGAGCCCGUGAGACCAGGACUCUCCCUACCCUGACUCUUUCUCCAGCCUGCAGGGGACAGUGGGGGUGACCAGCCCUGACUGCUAGGCGGGCAAGCCUUGCAGCAGCCAGGGAGAGCAUGGAGGGUGAGGACACGGAGGUGAUGGAGGGCUGAACCCCUCCCUCCCCCAUGAGCUUGGCAUGGAGGUGGGAGCCCUGACCCUUUCCCAGGGCUCUGAGUUGGCCUUGGAGAGUGUGGUGCUGGGCCUGGCCACAGAGGUCAGCAGAUGGUGGGCGGCUGGUGCUGGGGCCCUGGCUCUGCAGGGGGGGGUCAGGCCCGGCACACCCUGGGCAUUUCCUGUGCAGCCCCAGAUGGGUUAGAUCAGCUGAG